rnacentral:rRNA from 1 species
CCUACGGGAGGCUGCAGUGGGGAAUAUUGGACAAUGGGCGAAAGCCUGAUCCAGCCAUGCCGCGUGUGUGAAGAAGGCCUUCGGGUUGUAAAGCACUUUCAGUGGGGAAGAAAGCCUUGGGGCUAAUACCCUCGAGGAAGGACAUCACCCACAGAAGAAGCACCGGCUAACUCCGUGCCAGCAGCCGCGGUAAUACGGAGGGUGCGAGCGUUAAUCGGAAUUACUGGGCGUAAAGCGCGCGUAGGCGGUCUGAUAAGCCGGUUGUGAAAGCCCCGGGCUCAACCUGGGAACGGCAUCCGGAACUGUCAGGCUAGAGGGCAGGAGAGGAAGGUAGAAUUCCCGGUGUAGCGGUGAAAUGCGUAGAGAUCGGGAGGAAUACCAGUGGCGAAGGCGGCCUUCUGGACUGACACUGACGCUGAGGUGCGAAAGCGUGGGUAGCAAACAGGAUUAGAUACCCGGGUAGUC